UGCCCCGCUAGGAUUUUUGAUGCCCCCUCUACCAGAAUACUGCUAUCAGUUCUCCAGUAGAGGAGUCUCUCCUCCCCCUUGUGAGGCCGUCAGCUUGGGAGUUGCAAGAAGUUGGCUGUUAUGAGGCGUUCACUGUUGGUGUCCCUACCAGGAAGCUCAUAGGCUGGCAUUUACAUAUAUCAGCCUGAGGGUAUUUGCUUAUGUCACAAUCCCUCUCUCUCUACCAUGCUGGGUGGGUAGGAGGAUGCGGCCUUGUGGGUGUAGCAGGGAAUUGGGCUCCCCUGCGGCCCAGGGGAGGUUCCAGAAAUGCUAUCCAGCAGCCAAGGCCUGGAAUUGAGGAUUGCAGGAUCCCACUUGGUGCUCUACUCCACUGUGGCUUAGCUGAUAUUACGCUGCAAGGCAAAGUCCGCUUCUAUCUUUUCUCUGCUUUCAUCAAGCAGAAGAAGCCUCUCACCCUAAGUGCCAUGGCUGGGAACAUGCUGAGUCACAACUAAAGCCAGCAUGGUGCUACUCUCACCAAAGGUGAGACCUAGGACUCGUCAAGGUAAGUACUGCUUGUCUACCACUGUUGAUUAUUCAGGGCCCAAGGGUACUUUAUUUAACAGGUGAUAAAUCCUUCCAGGACUGGGUUUUUUAUUUUAAGAUGGUAGGUCCCUUCUGACCCAAAGUAUGUCUGGAAAUGUCUUCUGACAGCUAGGGCCUGGAAUGGUGGCCUCCCAAUUCUGCCUGGUGCCCUGCUCUACUGUGGUUGAGCUGGUAUUCAUGCUGCAAGACAAAGUUCUCUUUACUCUCUUUUCUCCUCUGCUCAAGCAGAAGAAAGGAGUUUCACUCAGAACUGUGAGCUGAGUUGUCUGGGGUUGGGGAGGGGUGUCUCACUAGGUCAUGUAUACCCCAAACCCAAUGGCUUUAAUCCCAGAGGACUGUCCCAGGAAUUGCAGUCUUUGUGGCCUAGAUUGCCUUUCAAGUUUAGUUAGGACCCCAGAGAAACUUAUCCCACCAUAGAGGGGCUUGCCAGUCAGUUCUCAGGUUUCAACUGGUGGAAUAGACAAUCUGCCUCUGGCUAUGACGUAUCUACAUGAUCCCUCCAUGGGUGCCACUGAGUUCUGCCUUGUGUUGCUUUCUGCUGUGAUGGGGCAGCACUGAGUUCUAAUGCAAAGUCGCACAAUCACUUUGCUCUCCCUCCCUCAAGCACAUAUAUUCUCUCUCAUUCCACACAGCUGCUGCCAGAGAAUGCCAGAGGGAUAUGCUGCAGGUGAUUCAAGACUGUUUCCUGCCCCCUUCAGUGCCUCUUUCCUUGAUCGCUAACCUGAUUUUUGCUUCUUAUGAAAGGGUGUGUGUGUGUGGUGGUUCAGUUUGGUGUUUCCAUGCAGGAGACGAUUAAUGGAUAUUUCUGUUUGGCCAUCUUGCUCUGCCUCCCUGUAAUCUUGACUUCCAUUAUUUUUGAGGUGAAAUCUACUAUUAAUCUUAGUGAAGAUUGUUUGUUGUGUGAAUCAC
rnacentral:lncRNA from 13 species